UCAUUCAUAGCAUCGAGCCACUUUUGAGAGUUAGAACUUUCCAUGGCUUGACGGAAGUUGAUCGGAUCAUCUUCCACCAUUCCAAUGUCAACUUCAUGUUCUUGAAGAAAUACGAUGUAAUCAUUCGAAACCGCACUUCUCCUCUCUCUAGUGGAUCUUCUUAAUGGCACUGGUUCUUGAGGGUGUAGAGUUUGUUCUUCUGGAACAAUUUGUUGAUCUUGAGAGGGAGGUAUGACAUUGUCUUGAUCCAGAGUUGCUUCUUGAACAAUGUCAGGGAUAGAAACCUGAUCAUUGUCAAUGGCAAUUGGAGGAAUUUCAACAUAUUCCUCCUCAAAGACAAAGCCUGUAACC
rnacentral:lncRNA from 1 species